ensembl:lncRNA
AUUAGGAGUAUUUAAUGUUUCACUUCAUGGACACACACUUAAUUUGAAAACCCUAGAUAAAACAUGCAGUAAAAUGGGGAGAAAGAAGUGGUUUCCUGGAUACUUAAUGAUGAAACAUGGGAUGCUCAUGAUAAGCAAAAAUUAAAAAUGACUUUUCAGUCCUUUGAAAUUCUAUCUAAUGUAUAAUGGCUGGAGAGCUUGGCUCUGUCUAAAAAGUCACCAGCACCUGAAUUAUAAAUAAAAAAAAUUAGAAAUAAUUUAAUUUACUUUCAAAUAAUAAAUAAUCUUUGAAGGAAAAAAGAAACCCUUACAGCAAUUUAUUUUUUUUUAAUGAAAGGGGGUAUUUGUAGUUACUUUAGCAUCCACCUUUUUUCUGUAAAAGGGGAAUUAAACUAUUACAGGACACCUUGUUAAGUAAUUAUACAGCAGCAUCACAGUGCAAUUAAAUAGCCAUCAGUCCCCGCAGCUGAGAAAUUCCAGGUAAUUAUUCAAAGAUAAUUUAAUAGGAGAAUUACUGUAUUCAAGCAAGGAUUAGCAAGUAAUCUACCUCAAUUAAAGCAUCCAAUUAAUUUCAGAGCCUCGAUAACAGUUGCCUUUGGCAAAAUGAUCCUUCCCUUCAUUUGAUCCUGCAUAGGCAAUAUUCCUUAAACACUGUGUAAAAUUAAUUUACUUCUUCUAAAAGUACAGUCUAUUAAUAGCAGCCUCCUGAGAAAUUAAACAGAUGCAAGAGUAACAACGGCGUCUUCCCGCCUGCUUGCUUGUGCCUUUUCCCCCCCAGUCUUCUGUGCAGAAACAAAACACAGCCAACUCGGACCUGUUAGUCCCAGCGUGCAUCACCAAGUGCAGGAAAACCUGCCAGUGAUGGAGAGUUCCUGAAGACAAUUUUGUUGCUGGACUGAUUAACUCAGCGGACAGACUGUCUGUGGGAACUCUGUCUCUGGGAAUCUGAUGGUCAUGUGGCCGGGAUGACGACUGGGCAAGUAUGGAGACUUUAGUGGGUGGGGUUUCCUCCGUUGAGUUUCUUUCAGAUUGCUGCAGAAAGCCCUCAGCAUUGGGACACAAAGAGAGGUUUGGAUGCUCUGGGAGGACCUUUCACUGUCUCAAACUGUCUCUUAACAGCAGCCUUUCAGUUCUGCCUCACUCACGGUUUCUCUGGGUUCUUUGUCAUGGCAGGACAAGUGACUACUACAACUUCCCCUCGUCCACCUUGCCUCCAGCUCUGUCUACACCUAGCUCUUUUGUUAAUGGUGGUUGCGAUGUCUCGUGUGUCUGUGGAGAGCAACUUGACCAGCUCACGGGUGUCGGGCUCACAUUCAAAGAAAGCUCAACCUUUUGUAACAACACAAGCUGUAAUGCCAGCACCAGGGGACGGAGGCAAGAAGACAAGGCAAGCUUCAGGCCAGCCUGGCCUACCAAAACCAAGAACCAAAAAACCUAACCCAAUUCGUAAAAUCAAAUCAGAUUCAAUCAAGUUACUUAGCAUAUCCAGUACCGGCCUCACCCACCAGCACCACAGGCACCAUUGCUAAGUGUCUGAGCUGACCAGUGCUAAUCACACUGAGCCUUACAGUCUCCACCCAUCUUUAUCCUAAAUGGCAAGUCUGACCCAUUCAGCAGCAGGUUUUCAUUCUCACCCCUUCCCUGAUAACCUUGGCUCUCCUCCCACUCUCUGUGACUCGUCUGUCCUACCUACCUCAUGGGAGUGGAGUCAUACAGGGUUUCUUCCUUUGCAGUUGGCUUAUUUUACUGAGCAAAGUGCUUUUAAAGAUUCACCCAUAGAGUACCAGGGGUCAGAAUGCUACUCCUCUUAUGGCUAAGUAAUAUUCCACUGCAUCUCACGCUGUGUGUUAUUCACUCAUUCGUCGGCGGAUACUUGGGUUAUGUAGUAUUGACUACUGUGCCUUUCAAUUAAAGAAAAAAACAAUCUGUUUAAGCUUGAUUUUCAGUUCUUGUGGUGGGGAAGGGAUAAGUACCAGGGCCUUGAGCAUGCUCUGCAAAUGCUCGCUCCACCACGAAGGUCC